rnacentral:rRNA from 1 species
AUUGAACGCUGGCGGCAUGCCUUACACAUGCAAGUCGAACGGCAGCGGGGGAGAAGCUUGCUUUUCCUGCCGGCGAGUGGCGAACGGGUGAGUAAUACAUCGGAACGUGCCCUGUAGUGGGGGAUAACUAGUCGAAAGAUUAGCUAAUACCGCAUACGACCUGAGGGUGAAAGUGGGGGACCGCAAGGCCUCAUGCUAUAAGAGCGGCCGAUGUCUGAUUAGCUAGUAGGUGGGGUAAAGGCCUACCAAGGCGACGAUCGGUAGCUGGUCUGAGAGGACGAUCAGCCACACUGGGACUGAGACACGGCCCAGACUCCUACGGGAGGCAGCAGUGGGGAAUUUUGGACAAUGGGCGAAAGCCUGAUCCAGCAAUGCCGCGUGUGUGAAGAAGGCCUUCGGGUUGUAAAGCACUUUUGUCCGGAAAGAAAUGGCUCUGGUUAAUACCUGGGGUCGAUGACGGUACCGGAAGAAUAAGGACCGGCUAACUACGUGCCAGCAGCCGCCGCGGUAA